UACGAAGGGUGCAAGCGUUACUCGGAAUUACUGGGCGUAAAGCGUGCGUAGGUGGUUCGUUAAGUCUGAUGUGAAAGCCCUUGGCUCAACCUGGGAAUGGCAUUGGAAACUGGCGACCUAGAGUGCGGUAGAGGGUAGUGGAAUUCCCGGUGUAGCAGUGAAAUGCGUAGAGAUCGGGAGGAACAUCCGUGGCGAAGGCGACUACCUGGACCAGCACUGACACUGAGGCACGAAAGCGUGGGGAGCAAACAGG
rnacentral:rRNA from 1 species